GCACUGCUGAAGAAUCCCACGAUAGGACGAAACGGCCGUCCAGUAC
rfam:Schistosoma curassoni strain Dakar, Senegal genome assembly, scaffold: SCTD_scaffold0007425